UACGUAGGGGGCAAGCGUUGUCCGGAUUUAUUGGGCGUAAAGAGCGUGUAGGCGGUCAGGUAGGUCCGUUGUGAAAACUCGAGGCUCAACCUCGAGACGCCGAUGGAAACCAUCUGACUAGAGUCCGGAAGAGGCGAGUGGAAUUCCUGGUGUAGCGGUGAAAUGCGCAGAUAUCAGGAGGAACACCAAUGGCGAAGGCAGCUCGCUGGGACGGUACUGACGCUGAGACGCGAAAGCGUGGGGAGCAAACAGG
rnacentral:rRNA from 1 species